rnacentral:lncRNA from 1 species
CAGGAGGGGUCAUGGAGGCCUGAGGGGUCAGAGGCCCCAUUAACAGGGAGCCCCAGGCUCCCUCACUCCUGGGGUCCGCCCAGUGCUUUUUAAGACCUGCCUCCACAUCGAGGGGUAGGCAAGCUGGAAGUAGAAGAGCUGGAUGAGGGCAGGACCCAUGAAUCAUUUAGAAAUUAUUAACCGACAUGGAAGUCAGGUGAUGGGAAGGACUCAUGGGUACUUUCAGGAGCAUGUUGGUCACAGACCAGGAGUAGCUGAGUCCUCGCAGAGUCUGUGCUGAGAGGAAGGGUCGACAUGGAACCAUGCCCUCGGGAGAGGACAGGAGGAGCCCCAGGUGGACUGAGGUGAUCACGUCUGGCUUAUCGAUGUUGCUGUUUGAUACAAUUCUGACCAGGGAAACCAUGGGAUGAAAUAAAACUCUUCCCAAGUCGGAGUUCUGUACUGAUCUCGCGUUAGGUCACGGUGACUCUGUGCUCAUCCAGGGAUUUGAGAAGACGGUGUGUGUGUUCUUAAAGGAAUGCAGAAGGAAACAGCAGAUCGGCUUAGAAGGCAAAACUGGGUCUUUAGAGCCUCCUGCUCGGCGGAUUUGGAGAGGCCUUGCUGGUUUUCUCAGAGCGGAAGGGCUCCUAAACCCGGGAAAAGUGGACUCCCAGGCUGUAGUGGAGAACACCGCGUUCUCCAGGUGAUAGAAGAAAGCAAGGAUGGAGAGGCGUCACUGCUCGCUGCGGCAAGGAGAACUCUCUUUCUGGGGUCUCUAGGAUGCUUCAGGGAGUGGACUGUGUCUAGAGGCUCCCCAGGUCCAGCUGACUGUGCCCCGCGCCCAGGCAUGCAGAGAGAGAUGCAGGGUUUCACCUGCAUGGGGAUGGCUCCGCCUUCCUGGAUUGCUGCGCGUGCUCCUUAUUAAACACCCUUCAGCAAGCAAGCUUUCACUGCCGGGUGGUGGAGGUAUUGUAUCGUGUUUUUGGUUUUGUUUUGUGAUUUCACAACCUGGAAGUCUUCUCUGAGGAUGUCCUUUCCUUGCUGUCAGGUUGGCUUGCCUCGAACCCACACUCACUCACUUAGGGGCACACACAGACUUCCAUGAGGGGGCUUCCUCUGGGGGCCGAGUUGGGGGGCAAACGGGAGUCCUGGGCCAAGUAAGACGCCAGCAAGGACACUGUUUCUCUCCAGCACUGAAGACUUUCUGUGGUUGUGUGUUGUGUUGAACACCCUUUUGGGCCCACCAUCAGGUUAAAUCAAUUACCCAAGGGUAAUGAUUACCACUGAUGAAUAAGCACUGACGGAUGAAAUAAACGUAAGUAUGCAAACA